rnacentral:rRNA from 1 species
GUCGAGCGAGGUUACUGUUUCGGAUCCCUUCGGGGUGAAGAAGCUUUAACCUAGCGGCGGACGGGUGAGUAACGCGUGGGUAACCUACCCCAAAGUCCGGGAUAACAGCGGGAAACCGCUGCUAAUACCGGAUGUCUUUACCUUGGGGCAUCUUGAGGUAAAGAAAGGCAACGCUUUGGGAUGGGCCCGCGUCCCAUUAGCUAGUUGGUGAGGUAACGGCUCACCAAGGCGACGAUGGGUAGCCGGCCUGAGAGGGUGGACGGCCACACUGGGACUGAGACACGGCCCAGACUCCUACGGGAGGCAGCAGUAGGGAAUAUUGCGCAAUGGACGGAAGUCUGACGCAGCGACGCCGCGUGAGCGAUGAAGGUCUUCGGAUCGUAAAGCUCUGUCCUUGGGGAAGAAGGUCUUCGGACUUGACGGUACCCAAGAAGAAAGCCCCGGCUAACUACGUGCCAGCAGCCGCGGUAAUACGUAGGGGGCGAGCGUUGUCCGGAAUUACUGGGCGUAAAGGGUGCGUAGGCGGCCCUUUAAGUCGGAUGUGAAAGCCCGCGGCUUAACCGCGGAAUGGCAUUCGAAACUGGAGGGCUUGAGUGUCGGAGAGGGUAGUGGAAUUCCCAGUGUAGCGGUGAAAUGCGUA